CCCUUAGAUGUUCUGGGAUGCACGCGCGUUACACUGAUUCGUUCAACGAGUUUAUGACCUUGCCUGAUGAGGUGGGGGAAUCUUUUCAAAUCGCAUCGUGAUGGGGAUAGAGUAUUGCAACUGUUAGUCUUCAACGAGGAAUUCCUAGUAAGUACGUGUCAUCGGCUCGUACUGAUUAUGUCCCUGCCCUUUGUACACACCGCCCGUCGCUCCUACCGAUUGAGUGCUCAGGUGAAUAGUAUGGACUGCAUCAGUGUUCGGUCUCCGAAUGUCGACGCGAGAAAUUCUGUGAAUCUUAUUGCUUAGAGGAAGGAGAAGUCGUAACA
rnacentral:rRNA from 1 species